rnacentral:misc_RNA from 1 species
AAAAAAAAAAAAAAAAAGGAGAUUAACUGGAAUCAGAUCAUCAAGGUUAACAAACAUAUAAUACAAAAACACCCUCUAAAAAGAAAAAAAAAAAUUUAACCUUCUGGAAUCCAAAAGCAAAAUCCACUCCUAUUUGAGGGAAAAACAAAUAAAUAGACAAACUUUAUAUCAUGUUUAGCAAAACGACUGAUGAUUCAAAUUCAAGCAUAUCAUGUGUAGAAUUAUACCU